ACAUAAGGAAGGGCUGUAGCUCAGUUAGGUAGAGCACCUCGUUUACACCGAGAAGGUCUACGGUUCGAGUCCGUAUAGCCCUA
rnacentral:tRNA from 1 species